CCUACGGGGGGCAGCAGUCGAGAAUCAUUCACCAUGGGGGAAACCCUGAUGGUGCGACGCCGCGUGGGGGAAUGAAGGUCUUCAGAUUGUAAACCCCUGUCAUGUGGGAGCAAAUUAAAAAGAUAGUACCACAAGAGGAAGAGACGGCUAACUCUGUGCCAGCCGCCGCGGUAAUACAGAGGUCUCAAGCGUUGUUCGGAAUCACUGGGCGUAAGGCGUGCGUAGGCUGUUUCGUAAGUCGUGUGUGAAAGGCGCGGGCUCAACCCGCGGACGGCACAUGAUACUGCGAGACUAGAGUAAUGGAGGGGGAGCCGGAAUUCUCGGUGUAGCAGUGAAAUGCGUAGAUAUCGAGAGGAACACUCGUGGCGAAGGCGGGUUCCUGGACAUUAACUGACGCUGAGGCACGAAGGCCAGGGGAGCGAAAGGGAUUAGAUACCCCAGUAGUC
rnacentral:rRNA from 1 species